CUUAUACUCCCUCUGUCCCAAAAUUCUUGUCUUAGAUUUGUCAAGAUACGGAUGUAUCUAACAACAUUUUAGUGUUAGAUACAUCCGUAUCUUGACAACUCUAAUACAAGAAUUUUGGGACGGAGGGAGUAUCUU
rfam:Triticum aestivum genome assembly, contig: Triticum_aestivum_CS42_TGACv1_scaffold_223564_3B